rnacentral:rRNA from 1 species
UACAUGGGGUGCAAACGUUGCUCGGAAUUAUUGGGCGUAAAGCGCACGUAGGCGGUUCGUUAAGUCGGAUGUGAAAGCCCUCGGCUCAACUGAGGAAGUGCACCCGAAACUGGCGAGCUUGAGUACGAAAGAGGAUCGCGGAAUUCCCGGUGUAGAGGUGAAAUUCGUAGAUAUCAGGAGGAACACCGAUGGCGAAGGCAGAUCUCUGGGCCAUUACUGACGCUGAGGAGCGAAAGCAUGGGGAGCGAACAGG